CUAGUCUAGGUCUAGUCAAUCUAGACUUUCAUUAAUAUAAUAGAUCUAUUAUAAAUAAUUAUAUGAGCUGUACUUCUUGAUAUCAAUGCAUAUAUGUUCUUCAACUCAUGGCAGCAAUGGCAGCAGCCAUGGAAAUUCAUUUGGAAUGGUCGUAACUUAUAAGUUAAAGUCUUAAGCCUAUCACAAGUACAGAUCAUCAUCAGAUGACGAAUCUCUAAAGUUGAAGAUAUCUACUUGGUAGUCUAAACCUCAAAGGAGCUUAGGGAAGUGAUGGCAGUUGCAGGGUAUGAACCAGACGACCAUGCAGAGACCAACGAGGCGACCAAACAGUCCAUCGUGCAUACCACAUAACCAGGUCCAGAAUGCCAGUUUUCUUUAAGGGCAGCUGACAAUAAGAAUUGUCUAUGUAUGCACUACAGAUGCUGUUCAAUAUCUUUUCAUGAGGAAGCCUGCUCAAAAAGAUACGAAGAAUAAAUUUUUCUUUA